CUCUUCCUGAUAUAAUUCUGAAACCAAAACCCUCUGAAACCAAAACACGCAAGGCAGAACCUCUCCUCUUGACAAAAAUAAACCCAGCAACCCUCCUUUCGACAUUACUCACCAAACGCAGAACCUAUACACUCUCUCAAACGCAGAUCCAAGCUAUUUCACAGAAAGCUUGCAUGGGCACAACCAUGGGAGCCAACGUUUUCAAUCUCCGACCCAGCCUCCAUAUCAAAGCAUUCUCUUUCGCCAGGGAAACACUCAUAGAAAGUGGAGAUGUAUUGAAGAGCCUCCCAAUCUUCAAAAUCUGACAACAAUCCUACAGGAUAAGAGAGUGAAUUGGCACUCUACUCCAUUUGAGGCAAGGUUGGAGAGAGCUUUGAAAAGUGGUUCUGCUGAGGCUUAAACUACUCAUACUCCUGGUGUAUGUUAGACAAGCUUGUGAGUGAUUUGGUGUUGGAUUGUUGUUUUAUGUUCUCAGCAUCUAUAUUUUUUUAUUCUUUUGUAAAAUUCGAUUCGGUUGUUUGUGA